UACGUAGGGUGCAAGCGUUAAUCGGAAUUACUGGGCGUAAAGCGUGCGCAGGCGGUUUUGUAAGUCUGUCGUGAAAUCCCCGGGCUCAACCUGGGAAUGGCAUUUGGGACUGCAAGGCUGGAGUUUGGCAGAGGAGACUGGAAUUCCCGGUGUAGCAGUGAAAUGCGUAGAUAUCGGGAGGAAUACCGAUGGCGAAGGCAGGUCUCUGGGCUAUAACUGACGCUCAUGCACGAAAGCGUGGGGAGCAAACAGG
rnacentral:rRNA from 1 species